rnacentral:rRNA from 1 species
AUAGCGUAUAUUAAAGUUGUUGCAGUUAAAAAGCUCGUAGUUGAAUUUUGGGCCUGGCUGGGUGGUCUUGCCGCAAGGUAAGCACUGCUCUGGUUGGGUCUUUCCUUCUGGGGAACCAGCGUGCUCUUAAUUGAGUGCGUUGGGGAUCCAGGACUUUUACUUUGAAAAAAUUAGAGUGUUUAAAGCAGGCUUACGCUUGAAUACAUUAGCAUGGAAUAAUAGAAUAGGACUUUGGUUCUAUUUUGUUGGUUUCUAGGACCGAAGUAAUGAUUAAUAGGGAUAGUUGGGGGCAUUAGUAUUUAAUUGUCAGAGGUGAAAUUCUUGGAUUUAUGAAAGACUAACUUCUG